GAUGAACGCUGGCGGCGUGCCUAAUACAUGCAAGUCGAACGGACAGACGAUGAGCUUGCGCGUCGCGCGUGAGCGGCUAACGUGUGAGUAACACGUGGAUCACCUACCUAAAAUUCUGGGAUAACUUCGGAAAACCGGAUCUAAUCCGGGAUAAGAUAUUGAACCUCGUGGGUCAUUGGUCAAUUACGGCGGUUGUGUCACUAAUAGGUGGUUCCGCGCCUGAUUAGCUAGUUGGGAAGGUAACGGCUUACCAAGGGGACGAUGCGUAGCCGACCUGAGAGGGUGAUCGGCAACACUGGAACUGAGACACGGUCCAGACUCCUACGGGAGGCAGCAGUCGGGAAUCUUCGGCAAUGGGCGAAAGCAUGACGGAGCAAUGCCGCGUGAGUGAUGAAGGCCUUCGGAUCGUAAAACGCUGUUAUUAGGGAAGAAAAAAUGUGGACGAAAACAUGGACGUCUUGACGGUACCUAAUGAGAAAGCACCGGCUAACUACGUG
rnacentral:rRNA from 1 species